GGCCGCGGGGGGAGCGCGGCCCUUGCCCGGUGCGCCGGCAGGGUCGCGUUUGGGGCGCCCGAAAGCCAGGGAGGGGGCGGCCGCGUCCUCACGAGCAGCGUCUCCUCGCUCCCGAGCUCAGGCGGUGCAAGAAGUUCCGUAUCUGCCCGCGAUGGAGCCGUUCGGCAGGAUUGGCCCCAAAACCUUACGGAACAUCUCGUCUCCCCCUUCCGCGGCUGCAGCUUCCGCGGCGCUUCUGUAGCGGCGAGGGAAGAAGAUGCCCAGGGGCUGCGCUGCAGGGGGGCACGCAGGACCCUCGGUCCCCACAGAGGGUGUGCUGGGGGGAGCAGUGGCGGGCAGAUGACGUCCUCGAAAUUAUCUGCGACAUUGAAGGAAGAACCUGUGGCAUUGCAAGCAACCCCAGUGAAGUCCGUGAGCCUCUAUGCAUCUAAGGAGGGCAUCAGGAGUUUGAGUCUAUUAGUCACUCCUUCCCACAGCAAGGACGGCAAGAAAUGGCAGAGAAGAGAAACAUGCUGAAACCAGCUGCCAGUCUCCUGUCUCCAUGGGAAGGUGAAUCUUGCAAGAGUGGCUAUCCAAAUGGGUGCCUCUGGAUCUGGAGAAAAGAAGCCCAAGGCCUUCAGAGGAGGCAGCUAGACAUCUAUACAAGUUAAUGUGGAGUAUUAUAUGCAAAUUUGAUUUUGCUAAGUCCAGUUUCACAUCACUAGAUUCUAGCAGAUUUUUCAAAGUAAAAUCUAUAUUAUACAUUGUAAAGAAAUGUAAUAAGAAUAGUGUGUUUUAUUAAGUGUUACCCACAGAUAUUUUUGAAGGAAAAAAGAAAUGUAAAAAGAUCUUUGCCUGUCUUAAAAACUGAUUUCAACUUAUAUUCAUAUGAAUAACUCUUAUUUUAAGUGACUACAUAAAUUAAAAAUAUCUACUGGUAAAAAUAUGCAUCAGUAAAGGAGAAAUGCUCACAGAGAUUCAGCAUCAUGUUAUUUAUGCAACACAUUGUUAACCCUUAGUUAACACAAGGAAAAUAAUUUCACUUACAUUGACAACUA